AGUGAACGCUGGCGGUAGGCCUAACACAUGCAAGUCGAACGGCAGCACAGUAAGAGCUUGCUCUUACGGGUGGCGAGUGGCGGACGGGUGAGGAAUACAUCGGAAUCUACUUUUUCGUGGGGGAUAACGUAGGGAAGCUUACGCUAAUACCGCAUACGACCUACGGGUGAAAGCAGGGGAUCUUCGGACCUUGCGCGAUUGAAUGAGCCGAUGUCGGAUUAGCUAGUUGGCGGGGUAAAGGCCCACCAAGGCGACGAUCCGUAGCUGGUCUGAGAGGAUGAUCAGCCACAUGGGAAGUGAGACACGGUCCAGGCUCCUACGGGAGGCAGCAGUGGGGAAUAUUGGACAAUGGGCGCAAGCCUGAUCCAGCCAUACCGCGUGGGUGAAGAAGGCCUUCGGGUUGUAAAGCCCUUUUGUUGGGAAAGAAAAGCAGCAGGUUAAUACCCCGCUGUUCUGACGGUACCCAAAGAAUAAGCACCGGCUAACUUCGUG
rnacentral:rRNA from 1 species